rnacentral:rRNA from 1 species
GAUGAACGCUAGCGGCAGGCUUAACACAUGCAAGUCGAGGGGCAGCGCGGGAUAGCAAUAUCCUGGCGGCGACCGGCGGAAGGGUGCGUAACGCGUGAGCGACAUGCCCGUUGCCCGGGGACAACCGGUGGAAACGCCGACUAAUCCCCGAUGGGAUAUUGUGCCGCAUGGCACGAUAUUGAAAGUUACGGCGGCGACGGAUUGGCUCGCGUCCGAUUAGCUUGUUGGCGGGGUAACGGCCCACCAAGGCUGCGAUCGGUAGGGGUUCUGAGAGGAAGGCCCCCCACAAUGGGACUGGGACACGGCCCAUACUCCUACGGGAGGCAGCAGUGAGGAAUAUUGGUCAAUGGGCGGAAGCCUGAACCAGCCAUGCCGCGUGCGGGAAGGAGGCCCUAUGGGCUGUGAACCGCUUUUGCCUGGGGGCAAUAAGGGCGUCGCGCACGUCCGAUGAGAGUACCAGGCGAAUAAGCAUCGGCUAACUCCGUG